rnacentral:rRNA from 1 species
ACUGCUCAGUAACACGUGGAUAACCUGCCCUGCGGUGGGAAAUAACCCCGGGAAACUGGGGAUAAUGUCCCAUAGGCUACGGAUGCUGGAAUGCUCUGUAGCUCAAAGAUUUAUCGCCACAGGAUGGGUCUGCGGCCGAUUAGGUAGUUGUUGGGGUAACGGCCCAACAAGCCUUUGAUCGGUACGGGUUGUGGGAGCAAGAGCCCGGAGAUGGAUUCUGAGACACGAAUCCAGGCCCUACGGGGCGCAGCAGGCGCGAAAACUUUACAAUGCGGGAAACCGUGAUAAGGGAACUCCGAGUGUCCGUAAAUGCGGACUGUCCGUAUGUUUAAAAAGCAUGCGAAGAAAGGGCCGGGCAAGACCGGUGCCAGCCGCCGCGGUAAUACCGGCGGCUCGAGUGGUGGCCACUAUUACUGGGCUUAAAGCGUUCGUAGCUGGGUCGUUAAGUCUCUUGGGAAAUCUACCGGCUUAACCGAUAGGCGUCCAAGGGAUACUGGCGAUCUAGGGACCGGGAGAGGUGAGGGGUACUUCAGGGGUAGGAGUGAAAUCCUGUAAUCCUUGGGGGACCACCUGUGGCGAAGGCGCCUCACCAGAACGGCUCCGACAGUGAGGGACGAAAGCUGGGGGAGCAAACCGGAUUAGAUACCCGGGUAGUCCCAGCCGUAAACGAUGCGCGUUAGGUGUAUCGAUGACCACGAGUCAUCGAGGUGCCGAAGGGAAACCGUGAAACGCGCCGCCUGGGAAGUACGGUCGCAAGGCUGAAACUUAAAGGAAUUGGCGGGGGAG